rnacentral:rRNA from 1 species
CCUACGGGAGUCAGCAGUGGGGAAUAUUGGACAAUGGGCGAAAGCCUGAUCCAGCCAUGCCGCGUGUGUGAAGAAGGCCUUCGGGUUGUAAAGCACUUUCAGUGGGGAAGAAAGCCUUGGGGCUAAUACCCUCGAGGAAGGACAUCACCCACAGAAGAAGCACCGGCUAACUCCGUGGCCAGCAGCCGCGGUAAUACGGAGGGUGCGAGCGUUAAUCGGAAUUACUGGGCGUAAAGCGCGCGUAGGCGGUCUGAUAAGCCGGUUGUGAAAGCCCCGGGCUCAACCUGGGAACGGCAUCCGGAACUGUCAGGCUAGAGUGCAGGAGAGGAAGGUAGAAUUCCCGGUGUAGCGGUGAAAUGCGUAGAGAUCGGGAGGAAUACCAGUGGCGAAGGCGGCCUUCUGGACUGACACUGACGCUGAGGUGCGAAAGCGUGGGUAGCAAACAGGAUUAGAUACCCGGGUAGUC